GAUGAACGCUGGCGGCGUGCCUAACACAUGCAAGUCGAGCGAACGGACGAGAAGCUUGCUUCUCUGAUGUUAGCGGCGGACGGGUGAGUAAUACGUGGAUAACCUACCUAUAAGACUGGGAUAACUUCGGGAAACCGUAGCUAAUACCGGAUAAUAUUUUGAACCGCAUGGUUCAAAAGUGAAAGACGGUCUUGCUGUCACUUAUAGAUGGAUCCGCGCUGCAUUAGCUAGUUGGUAAGGUAACGGCUUACCAAGGCAACGAUGCAUAGCCGACCUGAGAGGGUGAUCGGCCACACUGGAACUGAGACACGGUCCAGACUCCUACGGGAGGCAGCAGUAGGGAAUCUUCCGCAAUGGGCGAAAGCCUGACGGAGCAACGCCGCGUGAGUGAUGAAGGUCUUCGGAUCGUAAAACACUGUUAUUAGGGAAGAACAUAUGUGUAAGUAACUGUGCACAUCUUGACGGUACCUAAUCAGAAAGCCACGGCUAACUACGUG
rnacentral:rRNA from 1 species